AGGCUGGGGAGGAGUCUGUCACAACCAUACCAUAUAUUGCAGCUCCACCAUUUUAUUUACCACCUUCAGCAGCUUCAGUUGCUGACAUUAUUGGAGAGUCUGGAAGUCGAUUGCAGCUGAGACGAAGUGGCUCAUUGCUCAGAAAGUCACACACCAGCGAUGAUGAGCUUGAUGAAUUGAAUUCACCUAUGGCUUCAAUUUUCCUUGUCGGCUCUCAAACUUCACCUGCUCCAACAAAGCUUGGCUGGAAAUCAAAGGAAAUGGGAAAUCAAAAUUCCAUUAGAUAUGAACUUCUUAGG
rnacentral:misc_RNA from 1 species